rnacentral:rRNA from 1 species
CCCGCUGAACUUAAGCAUAUCAGUGAGCGGAGGAAAAGAAAACAAGGGUGAUUCCCCCAGUAACGGCGAGUGAAGCGGGAGUGAGUUUGACGAUUUUUUUUUUAAAUAGGUCGGUAUUUUUUUUUUUUUACAAGAUAACAUGCAGGACAGCAUGACGAAACAGGGUGAGAGUCCCGUUUUAGUAAGAAAAAAAGAAAAACAAAAAGUCACACGCUUUGGGAAUGGCGUGCAAAGGAUGGUGGUAGACUCGAUCAAAAACUAAUACGCUCAUGAGACCGAUAGCGAACAAGUACCGUGAGGGAAAGAUGAAAACGACUCUAAACAGAGAGUUCAAAGGAGGUGAAGGCGUGCUGGGGGAAGGAGAAUGGCUAUCUCACCCGUCUUGAAACACGG